GACGAACGCUGGCGGCGUGCUUAACACAUGCAAGUCGAACGCUGAAGCCCUUUCGGGGGUGGAUGAGUGGCGAACGGGUGAGUAACACGUGGGUAAUCUGCCCUGCACUCUGGGAUAAGCCUUGGAAACGGGGUCUAAUACCGGAUAGGACACAUCGCCGCAUGGUGUGUGUGUGGAAAGUUCCGGCGGUGCAGGUUGAGUCCGCGGCCUAUCAGCUUGUUGGUGGGGUGAUGGCCUACCAAGGCGACGACGGGUAGCCGGCCUGAGAGGGUGACCGGCCACACUGGGACUGAGACACGGCCCAGACUCCUACGGGAGGCGGCAGUGGGGAAUCGUGCGCAAUGGGCGAAAGCCUGACGCAGCAACGCCGCGUGGGGGAUGACGGCCUUCGGGUUGUAAACCUCUUUCGACCGGGACGAAGGGUGACUGACGGUACCGGUAGAAGAAGCACCGGCUAACUACGUGCCAGCAGCCGCCGUAA
rnacentral:rRNA from 1 species